rnacentral:lncRNA from 1 species
AGCAACAAAAAACUGGCGGUUCUGAUUUGCAGAGUGGAAGCUGAUCAACAUCCUUGGGGAGCAGGCAGAGGAUUCUCCAACUCUGUGACAUUUCUCCUUGGUGGAUCUACCUUUACAAGGAUCAGACUAGAAGGAUACCAGCAAAGCAAAUGAGGACAGCAGAGAGAGGUUCAAGGGGAGGUGGAGUAUGGGAGCGGACACUGAGACCAAAGGAAG